ACCGGGCUGUUCUUACCAUGUCUCGUCGACGAUGAACCACUUCGGUGGGGAUUAGUGGCGAACGGGUGAGUAACACGUGGGCAAUCUGCCCUUCACUCUGGGACAAGCCCUGGAAACGGGGUCUAAUACCGGAUACCACUCUCACAGGCAUCUGUGGGGGUUGAAAGCUCCGGCGGUGAAGGAUGAGCCCGCGGCCUAUCAGCUUGUUGGUGAGGUAACGGCUCACCAAGGCGACGACGGGUAGCCGGCCUGAGAGGGCGACCGGCCACACUGGGACUGAGACACGGCCCAGACUCCUACGGGAGGCAGCAGUGGGGAAUAUUGCACAAUGGGCGAAAGCCUGAUGCAGCGACGCCGCGUGAGGGAUGACGGCCUUCGGGUUGUAAACCUCUUUCAGCAGGGAAGAAGCGAAAGUGACGGUACCUGCAGAAGAAGCGCCGGCUAACUACGUGCCAGCAGCCGCGGUAAUACGUAGGGCGCAAGCGUUGUCCGGAAUUAUUGGGCGUAAAGAGCUCGUAGGCGGCUUGUCACGUCGGGUGUGAAAGCCCGGGGCUUAACCCCGGGUCUGCAUUCGAUACGGGCUAGCUAGAGUGGGGUAGGGGAGAUCGGAAUUCCUGGUGUAGCGGUGAAAUGCGCAGAUAUCAGGAGGAACACCGGUGGCGAAGGCGGAUCUCUGGGCCAUUACUGACGCUGAGGAGCGAAAGCGUGGGGAGCGAACAGGAUUAGAUACCCUGGUAGUCCACGCCGUAAACGGUGGGAACUAGGUGUUGGCGACAUUUCACGUCGUCGGUGCCGCAGCUAACGCAUUAAGUUCCCCGCCUGGGGAGUACGGCCGCAAGGCUAAAACUCAAGGAAUUUGACGGGGGCCUGCACAAGCAGCGGAGCAUGUGGCUUAAUUCGACGCAACGCGAAGAAUCUUACUCAGGCUUGACAUACACCGGAAAACUCUGUAGACAGGGUCCCUCUUUGUGAUCGGUGUACAGUGUUGCAUGACUGUCGUCAGCUCGUGUCGUGAGAUGUUGGGUUAAGUUUCGGC
rnacentral:rRNA from 1 species